GGUCAGCUGACACAUCCCUGCCAAUCUCCGGCAGACCCUCCCUCCCAGACCCUCCCACCUCCUGGACAGCAUCCAUGUUGAAGCUACCUUCAACAUGGAUGCUGUCCAGGAAGUAGGAGGGUCUGGGAGGGAGGGUCUGCCGGAGAUUGGCAGGGAUGUGUCAGCUG
rnacentral:miRNA from 1 species